GCUUGGUGCCGUGGGCGAAGGCGCAGGUGAUGUGGGACACGAACUCCACCCAGAUGCCCACGGCCUGCGGGGACGGGCUGUCACCCAGGGGCACCCGUGGGUGCUCCUCCGGGCUGCCACGGGGUGGGGGGGGCCCACGGCUGGGCAUGGCUGGUGGGUGCCCAUCCCGUGCUUGUGCACCCUGCGUGUCCCAGUGCCCUGUGCCACCCUGCACGCCCCAGGCUGCUCUGUCCCUGCGUCACCCUGUGCAUCCCAUCUCCUUCUGCCACCUCCUGUAUCCCCAAAGCCACCCCACAUGCCCCAAAUCCCGGUGCCACCCCGCAUGCCCUGCACCACGAUGAGGUCGAUGAGGGACCACGGUGUUGUAGGGGAUGUCCCAGCGGGGCCAUGGUGUCCACGAGGACCACACCGAUGGUGACGAUGGUGGCUGGAGCCGCCUUCACCCCUUCCCCUGUGUCUGCACCUUUGCUGGUGAUCCCCUUGCCUGCGACCCUGGGAUCAGGGGGGGGUUGUGGGGGAAGCGGAGGGGGGACCCCAUGGGUGUUGGGGGCCCAUGUCAAGCUGAUGCCACUGGCUCGGUCCUGGCAGCUGCCUUGCUCUGCCUGUGCUGCCCUCACACCUGCUGCCUGUUGGUGCUUCGUUAGCUGGGGCUUAAUUUCCUGCCCUCUCCCUCGACAAGCAGAGAGUUGUGGAGGGGAGUGAUCCCUCCUGGGCUGCUGCUGGUUCCUGGUGUGUGGGAGCAGAGUGGGGUGCUCCCUGUGUCUCCCCAGAUCAUCUCACCCUGCCUUCAGGCUGUACCCAGCUGCUGAAUGAGCUGCAGGUGACUCUUUCCUUCCUUCCAGGACUGGCUGGCCAGCAUCACCCAUCCAUCCAUCCAUCCAUCCAUCCCUGGUCUGAGGGUAAGGCUUUGGGGACCACCUCGGGAGAGCCUUCAGGCUCCCCUCCCCACCUCUAUCAUUAAGCUCUUGGCAGCAUUAAGUAACUGUCAGCCCCAAGGGAGGUGGGCGCUCUGCCCGGCUUGGAGCAAAUGUUAUUUUGCCCUGGGACAUUUCCAUCAUCUGCUUUGAUUUGUUUCUGGAAUGUGGGCUUAGUGCUUAUCAGCAGCCUGGUGCUGGUGUUUAUCCCUUGGAAGGGAGAAUUUCCCUAAGAGCUUAUCGAUGCUUGGAUUCAAACUGCCUGGGGUUGUGCAGAGGAGGUAAAGUAAAGUAAGGUGAGAUGCCUGAUGUGGUGUGAAGUCUCAAGUGCUGGUAAUGCAGCUUUCCAGAGUGCUCUGCUGUCCCCCCUUGGUCCCCCCACGUACCCUAAAGGCAGGGCUGCGAUGCUCCUUGUGUACAUACACAGGUGUAUGGGUGAUGGCUUGUGCCUGUAAUACCUGGGAGUGGGGGGCUACUGUCACCUGCAUCCCUCUGCGGCCCCAGCGAGCAAUGGCGGGGCUUGUGCAGGCAGUGGGGCAUGUCUCUGGUCCCUCCUCCAGACAGAGGUGGUAAUCUGUAUUAAUUAGGGCUGUAAAAGUCCUCAGUGGGGAUGGACUGCAUGGGCUCCCCUGCGGAGAAGGACCCCAAAAAAUGCCUGAAGGGGAAUAGCUCUUUCCAGGCAACGUAAGAGCAAUAUACAUGUGUCACAUAAGACAAGACAAAAGCACAGGUCCUGCUAGCCAGCAGCUGUCCCUGCAAGGUGUCAUUAAGCACAGUCAGUGUGCAAGUGCACUGGCCUCUCUGGUGGUGAUGGCUGAGAGCUGGGGGCUGUUGUGCUCCAGCCCCUGUUGGACUUGAUGAUCUUAAGGGUCUUUUCCAACCUAAAUGGCUCAGUGAUUCUUGCAGUCAGUGACAGUGUUGCCUCCCGGCCCCUCCAGCAGCAUCACCCCACCUUAGCAAACAGUGACUGAAAGCCUCAAGGGGCUCAGCCCCCCCCACUGCACCCCCCAGGACAAGGCAGACAGGGACACACUGGAACAGGGGUCCAGCACAGGGUGACGGAGGGACCAACAAACAGCUCCAGCGCGUGAGCCAGGGCUACAUCACCUGCAGCACAGUGUGUGGGGAGGUGUCACAGUAUAGAAAGCUGGUGCUGUUUUGCUCUAUCUGGUGGGGGGAGUAGAGGUGACAGGCCCAGGCUUUGCUCAGCAGAGCCCACAGAGGGGACAAGAGACAAAGGACAGGGAAUGAAGCACCAGACUCUGAGUACAAGAAAAUAGUUUACUGUGAAGUUGAUAAACUGCUGCCCAUCCUCUUGCAGCCAGCUGGAGUUUUGAGUAUCUAUCUCCAGCACUGGAGCCCCCAGCAGCCCCUUCCACCUGCCCUCACAUUUCUGCCAACACAGGCAAGCUGGAGCUGCUGGUGUUCCACAGCCCUUGGGCUCUCUGACACACUGCAGCAGAGGGUCUCACCCCCCAGCAGCACACAGCAAAGGCUGCCCUGCUCUCCUGCAGUUGAAGGGAGCAGGCUUGGACACAGACAGGCCUUGGCACACAACUGAGUGGGAAACACAGGAGCUGGAUGAGCAAGCCCCAGGGCAGAGGACAUGAGCCAAGUGGGACACACAGCCUCUGCUACACAGGGAAAUGGUGACAAGCUCCAGCCUUACCCCACAGGCUCAGUGCCCAGCCGUGGGCAGUGGCUCUCUCAGCAUUUAGCUUAGCACGAGCCCAAGUCCAGGCUGCAGGAAUAAACCCAGCCCCAGCAGCAUCAGGGGCAAAGCUGAGACUUUGUUCCCUGACUAAGCACUGCCUUUGAGCCAAGGGGACCACACAGCCCUCCGUGCUGGCAUGUGUCCUUGCUGCUUUACAC